rnacentral:ncRNA from 1 species
AUCACAGUGACGAAGGGAAGAAGUACCCUGAUACCCCGUCUCCAGAGAGCUUUCGGUCGGUGCAAGAAAGCAGACGGCGUCAGGCGAAUACAUCCCGGAGCUGCCCUCUGAAACGCGUUUUCGCGCAGUAGGGGUGUGUCGGGUGCGCCCGUUAUCGCGCAGGGGCGUGUCUGCGCUCCGUAAGGCCGCUUCCGCAAGGAACCGGCAAACCAGAGGUGGUACCGCGAUCGUUCGCCCUCUGC